UGGGGGGAGAAAUCAAUAAAUGCGAGCAUGUAACGCCGCCGCAUGAGCAAGAAAAGACAUGCUUGUGGUCGAGCCAAGCGACAGAGCAGGUGCUCAAACUCGCUACAUCGCAUCCUUUUU
ensembl:ncRNA C31H2.6 ncRNA